rnacentral:tRNA from 1 species
GAGGGUAUAGCUCAGACGUAGAUUGUGUGCUUAGCAUGCACAAGGUCCUGGGUUCUAUCCCCCGUAUCUACA